UACGGAGGGAGCAAGCGUUAAUCGGAAUUACUGGGCGUAAAGCGUGCGCAGGCGGCUUUGCAAGACAGAUGUGAAAUCCCCGGGCUCAACCUGGGAACUGCAUUUGUGACUGCAAGGCUAGAGUACGGUAGAGGGGGAUGGAAUUCCGCGUGUAGCAGUGAAAUGCGUAGAUAUGCGGAGGAACACCGAUGGCGAAGGCAAUCCCCUGGACCUGUACUGACGCUCAUGCACGAAAGCGUGGGGAGCAAACAGG
rnacentral:rRNA from 1 species